CGCGGUAAUUUGACCGUGCGAAGGUAGCAUAGUCAGUAGUCUUUUAAUUGAAGGCUUGAAUGAAAGGUUGGACGAGGGAUAAGCUGUCUCUUAUUGCGUAGCUUGAAUUUAACUUUUAAGUGAAAAGGCUUGAAUUAUUUAGUGGGACGAUAAGACCCUAUAAAACUUGAUAUAAGUUUUGCUUGAUUUGUGACUUAGAGUGAAAAGCAAUCUUGUUUAAUUUAUAUUUCGUUGGGGAGAUGAAGAUAUAAUGAGUAACUGUCUAUUUAAUUAAAUAAGUAUAGUUAGUGUUUGAUCCUUCUUUGUGGAUUAGAAGAAUAAGUUACUUUAGGGAUAACAGCGUGAUUUUCUUUGAGAGUUCUUAUCGACAAGAGUAGUUGCGACCUCGAUGUUGAAUUAAAAUUUCAGUUAGGUGUAGCCGUUUAGCUGGUGGGUCUGUUCG
rnacentral:rRNA from 1 species